UUUUUUUUUUUUUUUUUUUUGAGAUGGUGUCUCACUCUGUUGCCCAGGCUGGAGCACAGUCGUUCUGAUCUCGACUCACUACAACCUCUGCCUCCCAGGUUCAAGCUAUCCUCCUGCCUCAGCCUCCAGGGUAGCUGGAACUACAGGCAUAUGACACCACACCUGGUUAAUUUUUGUUUUUUUUUUUAAAUAGAGACAAGAGUUUCACCAUGUUGGCCAGGCUGAUCUCAAACUCCUGACCUCAGGUGAUCCGCCUGCCUCGGCCUCCCAAAGUGCUGGGAUUACAGGCGUGAGACACUGCACCCAGCUUGCCCCAUGACUUUUGUACCUGGCUGCUUGGGCUUCCUCACAGCAUGGCCUCUCAGCAUAUUUGGAUUUCUUUUUUUUUUUUUGAGUGUCACUCUCUCUCCAGGCUGGAGUGCAGACUGGAGUUACAGGAGAUGGGACAGAAGAGGAAGUGGUUUCAUGCCCUUCAAAUUAGAUUGUCUAGGUACUUGUCUUUCCCCUCCACGUAAGAUGACUCACUCUUAGUAUAUUCAUGUGUAAAAUUGCUUUGGAUUUUAAGUGCAUGGAAGACCAGGAUCGUGUCACACUAGUGUGUAUUGCACAGCAUAUGACAUAGAACUAUGUUGAAACAGUGCUUAGAACAUGACUUUUGGAGAUGACAGAGAUAGGACCAAGCAGAACUGUCCUCCGGUCAAUUUCUAAAGUACAUGAGAAUACUCUGGGUCCCCCAGCCCAUCCUCUUGCCUUCUUGUAUUCAUUCUCCCCUGUCCCUUGGCCCCUCUCUAUGUUGCCUUUUAGCUUCUCAGAGCCUCCUUGCUUUGGUUCUCAUCCAGUCCAGACAUCCUGGCCGAGACCUCUCUAAAUUAGCCUUCCGUCCCCUCUCCUACCAGUCAAACUCCUCUCUCAUCUAUCCACCAAGGGGAGGGCUAUGUUGUUAAACUAACACUAAUGUAUGAAAGCCCACAUUGCCAGCUUACACUUGCACUAUCUCAUAAAAGUUAAUUUUUAAAUGAGGUGCUUUCAAAUUUCAAUAAGCAAAGGCUUCAGUUGAGAUUAUUUUCUUUUUGCUUUCCUGGCCCUCUGAAGUUAUGCUUUCAGGAAACUGCUUCUCUGAGUGUUAACUCAAGCUGGCCCUCAGAUGCAUUUGUUAUGUUCAAGUGCCCUCUGGAGGCAAAAAUAGUCUCCUGUUAGAUAAAAGACAUGCCUGCCAACGACCCACAAAUGAUUGGCCCCUGUGCUGUGAGGUCCAUUCAUUCCUUUCUUUGUGCAUUCCCAGCACAGCCCUGCCUCGGGGCCUUCAGCUUAGGCAUGGAAAGUUCUUUGGCCUGGAAUAGCUGUCCCAAAGACUGUCCCAUGACUGAUUCCUUCACGCCAUCCACUUUAGCUCAGCAGUGCUCUCAGCCGUGCACCACAUCUAGUCAAGUCGACCUUCCCACUCUGUCAUGUCGCACUGUUUCCUUGUCUUCCGGCACUCAGCACUAUCUGAAAUAAUCUUCCAUUCACUCAACACGUUCAUCGAGUGCCUGACCUAGGUCCUGUCUCAUGCACUUGGGAUAGAUCAAGGUACAAAUGCAACAUGUUCCCUGCCCUGGUGGAAUGUACAGGUCUUGGGAAUCACAUUGUUUCUUUUUUCAUCAUCAGCCUCCCCCCUGGAAUGUAAGCUCCAUGAGAGCAGGGACCCCUGUCAGCCUC
rnacentral:lncRNA from 1 species